AGAUGUUGGGUUAAGUCCCGCAACGAGCGCAACCCUCGUUCUAUGUUGCCAGCGGUUCGGCCGGGGACUCAUAGGAGACUGCCGGGGUCAACUCGGAGGAAGGUGGGGACGACGUCAAAUCAUCAUGCCCCUUAUGUCUUGGGCUUCACGCAUGCUACAAUGGCCGGUACAAAGGGUUGCGAUACUGUGAGGUGGAGCUAAUCCCAAAAAGCCGGUCUCAGUUCGGAUUGGGGUCUGCAACUCGACCCCAUGAAGUCGGAGUCGCUAGUAAUCGCAGAUCAGCAACGCUGCGGUGAAUA
rnacentral:rRNA from 1 species